GUGGGGUUGUGGCUCAGUGGUAGAGUGCUCGCCUCCAAUGUGCAAGGCCCUAAGUUCAAUCCUCAGCACCACA
rnacentral:tRNA from 1 species